rnacentral:lncRNA from 10 species
CACACCCAGCUAAUUUUUUGUAGUUUUAGUAGAGACAGGGUUUCACUAUGUUGGCCAGGCUGGUCUUGAACUCCUGAUCGUGUGAUCUGCCCACCUUGGCCUCCCAAAGUGCUGGGAUUACAGGCGUGAACCACUGCACCUGGCCAAUAAUAAAAUUUUUAAAAUAUUAAUUUAAAAAGGAUUAAAUGAUGGGAUAAGGAGGUAGAAAUACUGGAAAAU